GACAUUCACCAGGGGUGUCCCGACAAGGGGCUGAGAUUUCGCUACGCCAAACCGCAAGGGACAAGCAGCGCGAUGACCCGUUGAACCUGAUCCAGUUCAUACUGGCGUAGGGACGGUGCGAGCGCUGCAAA
rnacentral:ncRNA from 2 species